rnacentral:rRNA from 1 species
AGAGUUUGAUCAUGGCUCAGGAUAAACGCUGGCGGCGCACAUAAGACAUGCAAGUCGAACGGAAGUCGUUAUGAUGAUUUCAACACUGACAGAGAACUUGUUCAAAGAAAGUAGAGAUUGACUUAUAACAAUGGCUUUAGUGGCGGACUGGUGAGUAACACGUGAGCAACCUGCCUAUCAGAGGGGAAUAACAGUGAGAAAUCAUUGCUAAUACCGCAUAUGCCAUAAAUAUCACAUGAUGAAAGUGGGAAAGGAGUAAUCCGCUGAUAGAUGGGCUCGCGUCUGAUUAGAUAGUUGGUGGGGUAACGGCCUACCAAGUCGACGAUCAGUAGCCGGACUGAGAGGUUGAACGGCCACAUUGGGACUGAGAUACGGCCCAGACUCCUACGGGAGGCAGCAGUCGGGAAUAUUGCGCAAUGGAGGAAACUCUGACGCAGUGACGCCGCGUAUAGGAAGAAGGUUUUCGGAUUGUAAACUAUUGUCGUUAGGGAAGAUACAAGACAGUACCUAAGGAGGAAGCUCCGGCUAACUACGUGCCAGCAGCCGCGGUAAUACGUAGGGAGCAAGCGUUAUCCGGAUUUUUGGGGUGUAA